rnacentral:rRNA from 1 species
CCUACGUGUGGCAGCAGUGAGGAAUAUUGGUCCAUGGCCUAGAGGCUUAACCCGCCAAGUCGCGUGCGGGAAGCCGGCCCUACGGGUUGUAAACCUCUUUUGUCGGGGAGCAAAGCGAUUCACGUGUGACUCAUUGAGAGUACCCGAAGAAAAAGCAUCGGCUAACUCCGUGCCAGCAGCCGCGGUAAUACGGAGGAUGCGAGCGUUAUCCGGAUUUCUUGGUUUUAAAGGGUGCGCAGGCGGAGGUGCAAGUCAGCGGUCAAAUUGCGGGGCUCACCCCCGUACUGCCGUUGAAACUGCAUCCCUUGAGUGCGCGAGAAGUAUGCGGAAUGCGUGGUGUAGCGGUGAAAUGCAUAGAUAUCACGCAGAACUCCGAUUGCGAAGGCAGCAUACCGGCGCGCAACUGACGCUCAUGCACGAAAGCGUGGGUAUCGAACAGGAUUAGAUACCCGGGUAGUC